rnacentral:tRNA from 1 species
CCCAAGUACGCCCUAUGGAGGGCACCCGGCUGUAACCCGGCGCGCUUUGCAAGGAGGUUCGAUUCCUUCACUUGGGA